GAUUUUUAUUAUUCAGCUUAUUUUUAUUAUUCAGCUCCAAUUUUUCAUUAGCCAGAGGUGACUAGCGCGGCCAUGUGGACCGGAAGUCAUUGAAAAUUCACUUUUCAGCACACGUUCAAAAUGGGGGAAAAUUAUGUUGGUGAUAACUUGAAUUUGAGAGAAAUGGUGUAUAAAAAACAGUGUUCUGUGGAGCAACUACUUAUACAGCAGACCAAUAAUAACUUGUUAGAUAUACCUACAGUCUUGGUGGUGAUCAAUGGUGUUUGGAAGUUGGUAAUUAAACGUUUUAGUUCUAAGUUUAUACUGCCUAAUAACAUAUAUUCCAAUAGCAAAGCAUACGUGGGCAAAGUUUUGGUAGUUUUAGACACUAUCCAUUCAUUCCGGGGGGAGGGGUUAUUUUUAAC